GCCGAUUGGAAGGGUUUGCUUGGGUGAACCUGAAUGCAGUUUUAAAACAUGCACUCUUUCAGUUUAUUUUUGGGAAUUAAUAGUUUUUGUGUCCAUCAUCUUGUGAGAUCUCAAAGAUUUAUGGGGCUAGAAUUUGCAGACUGAUGUUCUUCAUUACUUUCCUGUGGAACUGAACAUAAAGAUUACAUUCCAAGCUUCGGGUAACUGAGGAAGAUCUUAGGCAACACAACUCCAGGAAGAGAACGAAUCAGAUGCAUCAUGAGAGCCCCUUUUCCUUUUGUCUCCUUCACCUGUAGGUUCCAGAGUAGCCUCAUGGGGUAUCCUAAGAGUCUAGAAUGAAGGCUCUGAGCCUGUUGAGAAGUUAGAAAACAACUGACUCGAGAAGAGACAUCAACUCUGGAAUCUCCAGGCAUGUGGACUCUGUUGGUUUGAAAUACAGGACUUGGAACCCACAUUAAAAUUUUGAUCAUUCUUCUGGCCUCCAUGUGUGCCCUCAAUGCAGGAGUCAGCAAACUUUUUCUGUAAAGGGCCAGAUAGCAAAUAUUUUAGGC
rnacentral:lncRNA from 1 species